rnacentral:rRNA from 1 species
AGUGAACGCUGGCGGUAUGCCUAACACAUGCAAGUCGAACGGCAGCACAGUAAGAGCUUGCUCUUACGGGUUGCGAGUGGCGGACGGGUGAGGAAUACAUCGGAAUCUACUUUUUCGCGGGGGAUAACGUAGGGAAACUUACGCUAAUACCGCAUCCGACCUACGGGUGAAAGCAGGGGAUCUUCGGACCUUGCGCGAUUGAAUGAGCCGAUGUCGGAUUAGCUAGUUGGCGGGGUAAAGGCCCACCAAGGCGACGAUCCGUAGCUGGUCUGAGAGGAUGAUCAGCCACACUGGAACUGAGACACGGUCCAGACUCCUACGGGAGGCAGCAGUGGGGAAUAUUGGACAAUGGGCGCAAGCCUGAUCCAGCCAUACCGCGUGGGUGAAGAAGGCCUUCGGGUUGUAAAGCCCUUUUGUUGGGAAAGAAAAGCAGCAGGUUAAUACCCCGCUGUUCUGACGGUACCCAAAGAAUAAGCACCGGCUAACUUCGUG